rnacentral:lncRNA from 1 species
GUUAAACCUUCCUAGAUCAAGUGAUCCCUUUCCUGAGUGGUCAGCAAUAAAGGUGGCAGGGAGCCCAGUGGUGCUUUGGCUUUGGCUCAAAUAAAAGCAGUGCUGUACAGAAGGCAGAUCAUCUUCCUGGUGAAUUGAGAGUAUGCUAUCUGCUGUCUCCAGUCAGCAUGGAAAUGGCACAAGCCUCCAGUGACUGCAUUUGAUGGGUAACUUCAGCAUUUAUCCGAAUCAGUUUUCCAACUCAGAUGCUGCCCUUGGACUACUUUUAAAUAGAUUCACUGUGUUCAACAAGGUGAAUCUCACUAUUCCUUUCGCCCUCUUUGCUAGUACACACUGUGUUAAAUCCACUGUGAGGGAGGUUUCCUGUUCAUGUGGUAAAACCUGGGCUGUGAAACUGACUGGCCAGUUAAUUCUUGUGGUACCUGGGGAUCAACAAAGUCUGAGAAACCAAGUUGUCCUGUUUUCCCCCCCCCCCACCAAUUACAUUCGUUGUGGUAGUGAGGAUGAGGUGGGGAUCACUAGAAUAAUUUGAUCCAAUUUUUUUUGGCAGGAUUUUUCUGUGGUGGACUCCACUGUGUUUACAACUGAUUUGGGAUGAUGCGGUGCUGUAAAGAGCUACCAAUAAACUAGAAGUUUGGUCUAACGGGAGAAGAACAGAGAAAAAAAUCCCUUUCUCCUGGUGCAGGGAUACAUUCAGACUGGACUGCUUAUUUUUGGUUUGCUGCCAAUAUGUUCCUCGGAUAGGAGGGGGCUGGUUUAGAUGUAGUUUCCCUCUCAUAAAAGCUGCUACCCGCACUGCAAUGGUGGACAUGACUGUGAACUUUAAGAUUCAAGAAGGCUGUUCUAAAAGCUACUGGAAAGAGUGUGAAAAUGCUCUAAAACUACAACUGGUCAUCCCAAGUGCUAAUGAGAGAGCCACAAGGUGCUUCCCCACCAGAGAAUGCUGCUGUGUACCCUGCAGUCCCUCUAAGGACCUGACUGUUGGAGAAGAGGGAGUAGCCUAUCUACUUACGGAAGAAUUCCAGAAGGAUGGCUGUUUAUCCCUCCUGCUGUCACGUUCCAUCUUUCUAGCUUGUGGGCUUUUGCAAAGGAAGGUUAUCAGCAAUCUGCUGCAGAGUCCUUCCCACUCAGUAAAUCAAAGCCUUGCUCUUCUCCGGUUCAUUUCCAUGGACAGAUGA